UCUAAAACCACUGAUUAAAAUCUAAUCAAAAUAUUGUUUAGCCUCCCAUAUUCACGGUUAUAGUGGUUAUAGUUACAUUUAGAAAAAUUGGUACCUGGCUUUAUAAAUCUCUAUCUUUAUUUGAAACAAUAUUCGCUAUCAGUUUUUCCAACUCAAAACGUUCUGUUCCUACACUAAAAUCUAUGUUUUGAAUUAUUAUUAUUAAUCGUAAUAGUAUUCGUAUUUCAUAGAUGAGGG